rnacentral:lncRNA from 1 species
GGCUCACUUAACCCUGGUGCUCCACACAGAAAAAUCAACUCCUUAAUCUGGCCCAGGUUUGCAUGAGUGCUUAUUUGGUAGGAUUGAGAAGAAGGAACAAGAAGAUGAACGAGGCAGGACUGCAUCUUUAAUGGUAUGCUGAAUAUGCAGUGUGGACAUGUGAGUUCUAGUGCUCUGGAGAACGCAUUGCACCAGAAUGGCUUUUCCUGUGAAAGAGGUCGUAACUGCAUCCAGGGAAAUCAUUAAUGGGAGUUCCUCUUAUCUUUCUUCAUGGAAGGAAAAUGUAUCCGUUUCUGUGCUCAAGUGCUGCUUCUGCAUGAGCCCUGCAGGAAUCCUGGCUGCUACUGCAGUUUCCUGCAGUGCCUGAGGUAAGGAGUCACAGCGGUUGCCGUGCAUUACCAUCCC